GUACGGGGGAUGCCUAGGCUCUCAGAGACGACGAAGGACGUGGUAAGCUGCGAAAAGCUGCGGGGAGGUGCAAACGACCGUUAAUCCGUAGAUGUCCGAAUGGGGAAACCCACAUGGUUGAAGACCAUGUACCUCGCAAGAGGAGAGAACCCAGGGAACUGAAACAUCUAAGUACCUGGAGGAGAAGAAAACAAUAGUGAUUCCGCAAGUAGUGGCGAGCGAACGCGGAAGAGCCUAAACCGGUCUGCGUGCAGAUCGGGGUUGUAGGACCGACAAAAAGUUAAUCAAACGAAGUGGAAGGUGUUUGGAAGAUGCCGCCGCAGAGGGUGAAAAGCCCCGUACACGAAAGGUUGGAUUAAUGGGUUGGGAUCCUGAGUAGGGCGGGACCGGCGAAAUCCUGUCUGAACUGGCGGCACCAUCCGCUAAGGCUAAAUACUCCUGAGAGACCGAUAGCGAAGUAGUACUGUGAAGGAAAGGUGAAAAGGACCCAAGAAGGGGAGUGAAAAGACCUAGAAACCGUACGCCUACAAGCGGUCGGAGCUGCACUUCGGUGUAGUGACGGCG
rnacentral:rRNA from 1 species